GGCUCAAGGAUUUCAAGGAGCAAAGGGCUUGGAGGUGGUCCAUCCUUGGUCUCAAGUCUAGAUCAAGAGGUAUAAGACUAACCUUCACUUUGUUCUUGAUUCUAUAAAUUGUUUUGAUGCAUUAUAUAUAAACCUAUGAACCUUGAAGGGGAUUUGCAUGACUAUAGCUUUGAUAAUAUGUUAUAAAUGCUUCCGCUACUUUCGUAUAUUAAAUUUGAUUUGGAUAUGCAUGAUAGUCAUUAUGAAAUCCCAUGCUAGAAUCUCAUAGUUUUCCCUUCACUUGAUGGAAUGCUCUUGACAUGAUCAAAGAUCAAGGACCUAACCAUUAGACAUCUAUGAUGCCUCAGGUCAAAUGACUACUUUGCAUAUUGCAACUAACGAGUUCUUGCAUGACAUGUAUGUUCGAACUCUUUUUUGAUAUUUGUUCAAUGUACUCGAUUACCCUUUCGAGCACCUAUGUGUUUGUCUUAGUGUCCAACACUAAAUGACUUGAGACUAGUCAUACUCACGCUUGAGUUGACAUAACACAUACUAACCUUAGCGGAUUGUCAAUGCCCAAUUGGCAAUCCUAUGGCUAGGAACGUUUUAGGAAUGAACAUAAGAGAAAGGUCUCAUUAAUCUAACUUACUUAGAUCACUUCUCUCUCAGAUUAAAAACUUUCCUUGGAUUCCUUUAUUGCUUAAACACAUGAUACAAUAAAUAGUGAUUAACAAUAAGCUUUGCCCUUCAUUAAACAUAUAAUAGUUUAAUACAAUAAGUAUUCCAAAGGUUAUUACAUCAAAUGAGUGGCUUUGUGGGCAUACUUCCAACAAUCUCCCACUUGCACUCAAAGCCACCUUCCCAUGUAUCUAAUACCCAUCUUUUCCAUAUGGCGGUUAAGUUGGAUUUGAGACAUUGGCUUUGUCAGUGGAUCUUCUAUGUUAUCGACUGAGGCAACCUUAAGGAUGUUGACUUUCCCUUCGGCAGCAUAUCUUUUAAUGAUAUUAAAGCGCCUGUCAAAAUGCUUGUUCUUUUGAUGAGCCCUGGGUUCCUUGGCUUGAGCUAUCGCCCCACUAUUAUCACAGUACAAAGUUACUGGUGAUGUAAUGGUUGGAACCACUCUAAAUUCAGUAAUAAACUUCUUCAUCCAGAACGCCUCUUUGCCGGCUUCAGCUAUAGCGACAUAUUCUGCCUCCAUUGUGGAAUCAACAAUUACAUCUUGUUUUUCUAGCUAACAGCUCCACCAUUUAGAAUGAAUACAUAUCCGAAAUUGGAACUUCUAUCAUUGACGUCAGAUUAGAAAUCUGCUUCUGUAUAGGCUUCCACUUGCAACUCUGUUGCUCCUCCAUAAACGAGGAACAUGUCCUUAGUUCUUCUUAAGUACUUAAGGACCGUCUUGACAGCUGCCUAGUGUUUUGAUCUUGGGUUAGAUUGUUAUCGACUGGUAAUGCUCACAGCAUAUGCGAUAUCAGGCCUUGUGCAUAUCAUGGCAUACAUGAGACUUCUUAUGGCAGAAGCAUAAGGAAUAGCACUCAUCUGCCGUAUCUCUUCAGGAGUCUUAGCUCCCAUGGACUUACUAAGGUGAAUUCCAUGUCUCAUAGGAAAAAGACCUUUCUUAGAUUAUUCCAUCUGGAACCUACUUAACACCUUAUCUAUGUAUAUAGAUUGGGAUAAUCCAAUUAAUUUUCUGUAUCUAUCAUGAUAAAGCUUUAUCCCAAGUACAUAAGAUGCAUCUCCCAAAUCUUUCAUGUGGAAGGUUUUGGACAACCACACUUUUACAGAAGAAAGUACUGCAGUGUCAUUUCCGAAUAGUAAUAUGUCAUCUACAUAUAACACUAGGAAUACAACUGCAUCCCCAACGACUUUUUGAUAAACACAAUUGUCGUCUUCAUUUUGAGUAAAACCAAAUGAUUUGAUUUCAGUAUCAAAAUGAAUGUUCCAGCUCUUGGAGGCUUACUUAAGUCCAUAAAUAGACCUCUGAAGCUUGCAUACCUUAGUCCUUUCAGACUUGGACACGAACCUUUGGGUUGAGUCAUAUAAAGCUAUUCCUCUAGGUAGCCAUUAAGAAAGGCCGUCUUCAUGUCCAUUUGCCAUAUCUCACAAUCAUGGUACGCAGUUAUAGCAAGCAAAAUUCGAAUGGACUUAAUCAUGGUUACAGGAGAGAAGGUUUCUUCAUAGUCAAUUCCUUCUCGUUGCCUGUAACCCUUGGCUACUAGUUUAGCCUUAUAAGUCUCCACGUUCCCAUCAGCGCUUAGCUUCCUCUUGAAGACCCAAUUGUUUCCAACAGGUAUUAUACCUUUUGGAGGGUCUACAAGAGUCCAGACAUGAUUUUGAUACAUGGAAUCCAUCUCAGAUUUCAUGGCCCCUUGCCAUCUCUUUGAGUCAAUGUCGGACAUUGCUUCAGUGUAGUCCCUAGGGUCCUCCUUUGUGUCAUUGUCACCUAGAAGGUGCAAUUCCCUAAAGUCAUUAUCUAAGCCAUACCUCUUAGGUGGCUUGCUAACCCUUUCAGAUCUACGUGGAGCUAGGGGUUCAGGAACAGGGUUGUCAACUUGUCGAGUGCUUGUUUGUGGUUCAUCAUUAAUCUUAUUAAUUUCCAUCGUUUUACUUAUAGUUCGUUUGAGAACAAAUUCAUCUUUUAGAAACUUAGCUGUUCUGGCGACAAAGACUUUUUGGUCGUCAGGAUGGUAGAACUCAUAUCCCAUAGUUUCUCUAGGAUAUCCCACAAAAUAGCACCUAACUGAUCUCGCUUCAAGCUUAGUAGGUUCAAGCUUCUUGACAUAUGCUUCACAACCCCAAAUCUUAAUGUGAUUAAGACUUGGCUUUCUUCCAUGCCAUAUCUCAUAGGGCGUCUUUGAAACUGACUUGGAAGGUACUCUAUUAAGCAAGUAAGCUGCUGUAUAUACAGCGUAUCCCCAAAAUGUUACUAGUAGAUCGGCGGAACUCAUCAUAGAAUGAACCAUAUUCAUCAAGGUUCGAUUUCUCCUUUCAGAAACUCCAUUAAGUUGUGGAGUUCCCAGUGGAGUCCACUGUGAUAUUAUUCCACACUAUUUGAGAAAAUCUAGGAACUCGUUACUUAUAUACUCUCCCCCUCGAUCUGAUCUUAGGAUCUUUAUCUAUUUCCCAAUUUGCUUCUCAACUUCAUUCUUGAAUUCUUUGAACCUUUCAAAGGAUUAUGACUUGUACUUCAUAAGAUACACAUAGCCAAACCGAGAGUGAUCGUUGGUGAAUGUGAUGUAGUAGGAGAAGCCUCCACUCGAUGUAGUAGACAUAGGUCCACAUACGUCAGUGUGGAUUAAACCUAGAAUUUCAAUGGCACGCUCUCCUUUCCCAGUGAAUGGAGAUUUGGUCAUCUUCCUUUUUAAGCAACAUUCACAAGUACCCAUUUGGUCAUUACCUAAUGGGCGGAAAUAUCCAUCUUUCGACAUCUUGUGAAUCUUAUCAAGGUUCACAUGUCUAAGUUUAAGAUGCCACAUCUUUUCUCGAUUAACUUCUUUUCUAGCCUUUUUGGGUUUUGAGGUAUUCCCGCUUUCAAUACAAUGCAUCCCCUACUUGUCUCUAGGUGAAAAAGUCCCUCUAUCAUAUUACCAUAAGAGAUAAUACGACCGUUCAACUAUAAAGUGCAACUCAUUUUGUCAAACAAUACUAAGUGCCCAUCUCAUAAAAGCAUAGAGAUAGAAAUCAAAUUCUUUAUACAUGAAGGAAAAUAUAAACAAUUUUUAAGUUCCAAGACUUCCCCAGAGGGUAGUUUAAGCAUGUGGUGUUGGAAAUAUGCCCUGAAAGUCAAUCUUUGGAAGAAACCUUUCAAGACAAUAAAUGGAUGUAUAGAUGACUCUUAUACAUCAAAUGGCAAAGAUAAUAUUUAGGACUAUCUCUAUAAACGAUAUAUGUCCUAAAUGGUGAAUCCAUGGACAAUGGAUCGAUUGAAGAAGUAAUCUAAUGAAGUUAGACUACAGAGACCUUCUUCAUAACCAUCAUGUCCAAAAGGUUCCUGGUCAUAGGAUUGUCGGAGGGAUACUAACAAUGCAUAGACCGGUACAUACUAUGUCCCCUUCAAUUGGAAUGAUGGAAAGUCUCAUCCCAUUCGUGUAGUGACACUAAGACAGGUAUGUAGGUGCUCAUUAAGGGAAUGAGUUCACUGAACACAAUCGAACGAGAGUACUUGCAUGGAGGUCUACUCACAUGUCAAGCAAGUAACUCUAAUGGUUGGAAUAAUGUAAGUAGUCCUUUGACCUGAGGCAUCGUAGUUGUCUUGUGGUUAGGUCCUUGAUCUUUGAUUAUGUCAAAGUCACUCCAUUCACGGGUGUCCACGACAUAGUUGGGGUUAAGCCACUUAGCCAUGGAGGCAAGUAAAUGCGCAACAAGGGAUCUCUAAUCCUCGUUAUGAAAGGAAGAAUACUCUAAGAUAUGAUUCGGGAAUCUUCGGCGGAAGUAUCGAGCGUAAUAAAGGAAAGCGUUCCUAUACGACUCAAUUGAAUCAUAUAACAUGGAAUAAUCACAUUAGGGGUUUGACAUAAUAUAUCCAUACCCUAAUAAUGUGAUUGAGAGUAUUGUAUUAGAGAAUGAUCGAAUUACAUUGUAAUUCCAACUGAAUAGGUUCUCCGAACAAAUUCUACAUUAGCUUGGGUAGCCAUGAUAUAUGGUUAGAUGUCACUCAUGGCUUGUGAGUUCUUCUAGAUGAUUAAAUGUAGUCAUGAAAGAAGAAGGUGAAUUAAAAGUAAGUUUUAAUUCACUAAGUGAUUGGAUUAAAUAUAAUCAAUUGGAUUGGUGCCAAUCACCACACUGCCUUGCUAAUUAGAACCUAAAAUGAUUAUACACCGAUACACUCUUGUAGUGAGUAACUAAUGGAUGAUGGAAAUAAUUAAUUGGAUUAAUUAAGUGUUGUGAUUAAUUAGAAAGUCUAAAGAAAUCAUAAAAGCGAUAAAAGAUCGUUUUGGGCUUAAAGAAAAGUUCGGGUUAAUAUGGGCCCAUUAAGCCCAAACCCAUUGGGCUUUUAUUUAAGCAUAGGAUGACUUGAAAUAAUAAAAGCCCAAAGCCCAAACAACACUAAAGGGGGCCGGCCAAAUAAAGGGAAAGGGAGAGAGAGAGGAAGUCAAGUUGUUGACUUGUUUCUUUGUAUUAUAAAAGGAAGUUUAUAGUGAAAAAUUCAUUAGGGUUUUGUGUGUUGUUUUUCACAAAAGGAAGAAAACAUCUCUCUCUCUAAAACCACACAAGGCCGGCCACCAUAAGGGAGAUUUAGCUAAUCAUCUUCUCUCCCUUUUGGUUAUUCCUCCAUCCAUCUCACUACACUAGUGGGUGUGGAUCUUUAGAGGUCUUCUACUUUGGAGACUAAAGGAGAACCAAGGAGCACUCAUUCUAACAAAGUGGAGAAGGCAAGGAGGGAGGCUAGGCUCAAGGAGUUCAAGGAACAAAGGGCUUGGAGGUGGUCCAUCCUUGGUCUAAAGUCUAGAUCAAGAGGUAUACAACUAAACCUACACUGUGUUCUUCACUAAAAUGUUUUGAUGCAUCUUAUAUAAACCUAUGCAUCUUGAAGGGGAUUUGCAUGACUAUAGCUUUGAUAUUAUGUGAUAACAUGCUUCCGUUGCUUUCGUAUAUAAAUUUUGAAUUGUAUAUGCAUGCUAGUCACUAGAAAUCCCACAUAAAUCUCAUAUUUCCCUUCAAGUGGUAUCAGAGCCAAAGGUUUAUAUUUGAGAAAAUAACGCUUUAGUCAUUUAUAACUCUUGUAAUUACCCAUCUAGUUUGGCCUCUAGAGAAUGAUGCCUCACAAUGAUAUGAUGUUGGCACCAUUGCACUUAGUUAAGUCAUUCCCACCAUGCUAGUUCAUGUAGGGGUUCAAGAAUAGCCUCACAAUGAUAUGAUGUCGGCCAUCCUUGUUCCCUACCUCACCACAUCAUGUAUGUACAUAUGGACUCCUCCUGAAUGUAAGCACAUACUUUGAACUUCCCCAUGAUAGGGUGAAGCCGGUGUAGGAGUCACAAAUGAUUGGAGCUGACCAUGCUGGAAGGCCUACAAAGAGAUGUUCAAAGCAUAUCUCGCUUAUCAACUUAAUAUUCGUUUUGUUGAGGGAGUGGUGUUGGGGUACAUCAAUUUUAUUUUAAUCUUAUUAAAAGAACUUGGGCCUAUCACAACCAUUGGUCCAAGUUAAUAUGAAUUAGUAGUAUAUAAUACUCCCACUAUUUCGAUGAAACAAGCGAGACUAUAUGGAACUACUAACGAAUGCUUUGUAUCCUCAUAUGGACUAUAUAGUCAUAUUAGGUCUUAGGAUGAUUAUGAACCGUUUGAUUUGAUCCAACACGAGCCUUGUGUUGGACCUUGGGUCUAAGGUAGGUAGUUGUUGAUUUUAGUUAUGCGUUUAAUCUAAUUAAACCGUUAUUUCCUAUUGGGCGUUGGACCCAACUAUUCCAAUUUGCAUACAAAUAAACAAAUAGGAAUACUUGAAAUAAAGAGAAGGGCUUAUGCCCUUUUACAACACAUUUGAUGGACUUAUGUCUAUUUACAACAAAUUUGAACUAAUCAAAUUAUAGUCAAAUCUUAACUACUUAACCUAAGCAUUCAUAAUGUAAAGCGGCCAAUCACAUAGCUCAAUUAUCGAGGCCUUUGGUUCAUAAUCACCCCUUUCUUAAUCAAUCAUAUUAACUAAGAAAGCAACUUAAACAAUUGGUUUUCAGAUUCAUAGAAUUGAUUUAAUGGAACUAAAUGAAAUGAAAAUCCAAUUCUCAUUAAAGAGACAAAACCAUUUUGUUCUCAUCAUAUUUUGGGCCGAAAAACAAUGACCACAACUAUUGGGCCACAAUGUUAAAACAUAAACUUUUGGGGUCACUUUGUAAAAACACAAGAGUCCACAACUUCAUGUAAUUACAACUAGCACCCAAAAAUUUCAACAAUAACAAAAACUUCAUUAAAGGAGCAAAACAAUUUGCCCUUUAGUGAUUUUGGGCUUUUACGUAAAAACGUAAACUUUUGGGCCAAAGUAUAAAUACACAAAAGUAUCAAAACUUUGUAGGGUGGCCGGUUUUGGUAGUGAAAAAGGGGGAAUGGUUUUGGUGAAAAUUCAAAAUUUUAAAGAGUGAUGAAAAAGUGAAAGGUAUGGGUUGAAAAGGUGAUUGGUAUGGUUGAAAAGGUUUGAUUCGUAUGGGUUGUAAGAAAAGGUUAGUCAAACAAUAAAGACACAAAACAUCCAUCACCAAUCAUCCAUCACCAAUCAAUAACAAACCAAAACUUUAUGCAAAGCAAUAAACAUAUUGAAUCAAAACACCAAAACUUUUUGUUCUUGGUAAGAACAUCAAGAACAUUGAAGAACACACAUGAAAACUCAUAAGAGCUCCAUGAAUGUUUUCACUCAAUAAAACUCAAAUUUUCACUACACAAAAGAGGGGUAAAAUCCUAGGGUACUCAGGGGUUCCAAAAGUCACUUUAAAACCUCUUUUAACAAGACAAACAUGAACCCAAAAAUCCACCCUUUGGAUUUCGCCGAAUUUCCCCACAUACAUGGCACCAAAUUUUAGUUCCAAUAUUCAUGCUUAAAUGAACUACAUCUACAACAUUUGAGAUGCGAAAUUUUCAAGCAAAAUUUAUAUUCAAAAGCAAGAACAAAGCUUGUAACAUUUACAACAUUUAAAUCACAAACCAUGAAAAAACACAAAACCCAAAAGGCUUCACCAUUAACUAGACCUAGGCUCUGAUACCAAUUGAAGGAAAAAAAUUUUCCUAGCUAAGAACAUGUGAGAACAUUUGAACACAUAUGCAAACUAAUAACACAUUAAAGUAGGCAUGCAUUUAAAAACAAUUCUAAAACCCAUGACUUUCAAAGCCUAGUGAAUGGUGAACCACAAGACUCUUUAACAAUAUUAAAGAGAAGGAAGGAUUUAGAGAUUCAUUACCCUUGAAGCUCAUCCUUGUUUACACAAGGGAUUCACCCAAGUGGAGGCCUUCAAGUCACCUCCUAGCUCCUUGGAUCUUCCUUGUGUUUUUCUUCCUUUUGAUGCUCCUUUGCUCCUUGAGGAUGUGAGGAAAGGAACUCCAAGAACACCAAACAUUUGGUGUCGCUAAUGCUCCUUUGCUCCUUGAGGAUGUGAGGAAAGGAACUCCAAGAACACCAAAGAUUUGGUGUCGCUAAGUCUCCACACCAAGGAUGAGGUGUGAAGAUGAAAUGGAUGACUUAGAGAAGAAAAGAUUGCUAGCUAAUUCUUCCCUAAGUGGCCGACCUCCUUUUAGAGAAAAAGAGAGAAAGUGUUUCUCUUCUUUGCCUCAAGAAAACCCUAAUGAGAAAAAGCUAUAAAGUUAACUUUAUACUACAUCACAUGUGAGUGGCAAACUUGUAAUUAAUUCAAGUUUGCAUCCACUCACCCUUAUGGCCGGCUUUGUCUUUGUUAUUGGGCUAAUUGCCCAUUUUGUUUAGUUGUCAUACAACUUAAACAUAAUGGGCCUUGUGGCCCUAAACACUUUUGGGCCCCGAAACCCAAAACCAACUUAAAAGCCCAAUACGAACCUUUCAUUAAAUUAAUUAACUAAUUAAUUAAUCUUGACCAUUCUCAAUUAAACCAUUUAAUUGCUUAUCCAUCCCAUUUAUAUAUCUUCACUUUCAUCCUUACUCGGUGUACGAUCCAUUAACUUCCAAUUAGCGAGGCAGUGGGCAAUUGUUACUCUUAACGAUCGAUUGUGAAUUGAAACAACAUUUCAAUUCUCCCUUUGAUGAAGAUUAGUGUUUGCUAAUCUUCAGGGCUUCCACAAACCAUGAGUGACACCUAGCAGUAUGUCAUGGCUACCCAAGCUAAGUAAAAGUGGUUGGAGAACCUAUCCAGUUACAAUUACAAUGCAAUACGGUCAUUCUCUUAUAAAAUACUCUUAAUCACAUUGUUUGAGUGAUAGUUUGUUUCAUGUCUACUAUCCAAUGUGAUACUUCUUUAUAUGAUUCAAUUGAAUAUGAUUUGGAACAAACUUCCUAAGUCAUAUUCAUAUGUUUUGGCCAAAGACUCCCGAAUCAUAUCUUAGAGUAUUCUACCUCCAUCAUGGAAGGUUAGAGAUCCCUUGUUGUGCUUUCAUAUGCCUACAUGACUAGAUAUUUUGACCCCAACAAUGAUGUGGACACUCUCGAUGGAAUUCCUUUGACAUGAUCAAUGAUCAAGGACCUAACCAUUAGACAUCUAUGAUGCCUCAGGUCAAAGGAGUACUUUGCAUAUUGCAACUAACGAGUUCUUACAUGACAUGUAUGUUCGAACUCUCCUUUGAUUGUUGUUCAGUGUACUCGAUUACCUUUUCGAGCACCUACAUGUUUGUCUUAGUGUCCAACACUAAAUGACUUGAGACUAGUCAUACUCACGCUUGAGUUGACAUAACACAUACUAACCUUAGCGGAUUGUCGAUGCCCAAUUGGCAAUCCUAUGGCUAGGAGCGUUUUAGGAAUGAACAUAAGAGAAUGGUCUCGUUAAUCUAACUUACUUAGAUCACUUCUCUCUCAGAUUAACUACUUUCCUUGGAUUCCCUUAUUGCUUAAACACAUGAUACAAUAAAUAGUGAUUAACAAUAAGCUUCGCCCUUCAUUAAACAUAUAAUAGUUUAAUACAAUAAGUAUUCCAAAGGCUAUUACAUCAAAUGAGUGGCUUUGUGGGCAUACGUCCAACAGUCAUUUGUACUAAAUCAUUCACUAGUUCUCACUAAAGGAGAGCUUGAACCUAUGUACUUGUGUAAACCCUUCACAAUUAAUGAGAACUUCUCUACUCCGUGGAUGUAGCCAAUCUGGGUGAACCACAUACAUCUUGUGUUUGCUUCCUUGUCUUUAUCCAUUUACAUACUUAUCCACACUAGUAACCGGAGCAAUCUAGCGAAAGUCACAAACUUGACACUUUCUGUUGUACCAAAGUCCUCACUGAUUUUGUGCAUCAACAGGGCCCAAAACAGACAAUAUCGUGCUAUGGUGGAGUCGAGUCCGGGAUGUAGUGGGGGCCCGGGCCGGGACGUGACAAAUAAUCAUAGAAUCAGAUCAAUAUUCAAUAACCAAUAAUCAUAUUAGUGCAUUACCGUAAAAUUCUAUACCAAUCAAACAAAAUUUGUAUUAAAUAAUUAAUUAGGGUUAGGGAUUGUAAAUGUAGGAAUUAAAGAAUUUACGUUUCAAGGCUGAAGCCGGCGGCUCAACGGCUGGAGAAGUGGACAGUGGUUGGAAGGUUGACAAUUCAAUUCGAAUUAAAAAAAUAUUUCUUCUGUUACUGCUGGGACUUUGGGGGGUAGCUUUGUUAUGCUAUCUGGCUGAAAGGUUGAAAAACAAAAAGGGAGGGCCACGGCACUGAGAGUCUAAAAGGGAUUGAGAGUGAAAGAGGGACACGCGGUCCCCCAAUAUAUAUAUAUAUAUUAUUUCGAAACAUAUGAAACAGUGUUGUUUCAAUAUUUUUUUUUAAUUUUUUUUACCAGGACCAAAACAACAUCGUUUUGGCCUAGAUGUUUUAAAAAAAGAAAAAGAAAAAGCAAUAUGCUGUUGCGCACAGCAGAACCCAAACAUCACCGGACCCUAGGGAGCGAUUGUUGAACAUCCCGACAAGGGGAAGGGCUGACCCAGAGAUCCAGUCCUAUUUUCGGUGAGGGGAAUGGCGGCCACCACUUCUCGCCCUUCCAUGGCUUCGCCACUGCUCAUACAUACAACCCAUCCCUUGAGAUCUUAUACAAACCAGUUUCAAUACACCCCCUCAAGCUGAAUCAAGGGGAUUGAUUGAUCCAAGCUUCCACAACAAACAUUGAAACUGAGUAGAGUCUAAUGCUUUUGUGAAUCAAUCAGCAAGUUGAUCGUGGCUACUUGUGAACAUGGUGUCUAUCACCUUGGAUUGAACUUGACCAUGAAUAUAAUGGCAGUCAACUUCAAUAUUUUUGGUUCUUUCAUGGAAUAUUUGAUUGGAGGUAAUGUGCAUGGUAGCUUGGUUAUCACAAUACAAGGACAUAGGUGUCAUGCUUGUGAAUCUGAGCUCGGAAAGAAGACCUUUCAACCAUAUGAGUUCACAGGCUGUUGCUGCCAUGGCACUAUACUCAGCUUCCGCACUAGAUCAAGCAAUAACAGUUUGUUUCUUGCUCUUCCAAGUGCAAGAUUCCCUCCAACAAAUGUGCAAAAACCUGUUGUGGAUUUUCGAUCAAGGGCAUUUCCAGCCUAAUCAGCAUCUGUGUAGGCCAAAAUGUGAUUUGAUCCAUUGUUCUUCAUAAUUAUCCCCAUUCCUACAGAGCCAUUGAGAUAUCGAAGUAUUCUCUUGAUGAUUCCCCAGUUGACUGAAGUAGGAGACUGCAUGAACUAACUAGGUAGGCUAACUGAAUAAGAGAUAUUAGGCUUAGUAAUGAUGAGAUAAAUAAGCUUCCCCACCAUUCGCUGAUAAACACCAGGGUCCGAAAGAGGUUUUCCUUUUUCAUGCCAUUAUUGACUACCACAGACAACAAUACCCUCACCAUGUUCAUUUUGGCAACAGGAGCAAAGGUCUCAUUUUAGUUAAUGCCAUAAGUUUGAGUAAAGCCUUGAGAUACUAACCGUGCCUUUUGUUUCUUGAUGCUUCCAUUGGAGUUAAAUUUGGUCUUAUAUAUCCACCUACUUCCCAUGCCCUUCUUGCCAUUUGGAAAGUCCACCACACUCCAUGCCUGGUUGUCAUUAAGAGCUUGAAGAUAUUUAGUCAUAGCAUCUUGCCACCCAUCCAUGCAUGUGGCUUUAUGAAAGUUCCUUGGUUCGAAAGUGUAGGACAAUUUGUUAAGGAAAGAAGUAUGAGAAGAUGAGAAUCUAUGAUAAGAAAUGGCUGCAGAGAUAGGAUACCUUGUAGUGUAAGUAACAUACUCUUGUAACCUCACUGGUGGAUGUCUAUCUCAUGUAGGAUUUCUUAUUGGUGCACUUAUAACUUGCUGAUUUGGUUGAGCUUCUGAUGGUUUAGAAAAGCUUGGCACUGAAUCAAUUACACUCUUAGUGAGUUGAGAAUUAUCAGUGCUGAUAUGAGCAAGAAUGACUUCAUGAAUUUCUGCUGGAAUAGGUAGUGGAAAUAUGUACAUAAGAUAUUCCAUAUUAGCAUUAGUCUCCAACCCUUUCUGGAAAUAAGGUGAAUAUUCAUCAAAUCGUACAUCUCUAAAGAUUGCCAACUUCCUUGUGUUAGGGUUGUACACUUUGUAACCCUUUUGAGAACUGGCGUAUCCCAUAAACACGCAUUUGACAGCUCGAGGAUCGAGUUUGUCACAAUGGAGAGCUUGAAUAUGCACAUAACAAGUACAACCAAAGGUCCUGAUGUAAGACAAGUCUAUAGGUCUGCCCUUCAUUACUUCAAAAGGAGAUUUAGUAUUCAACACCCGAGUUGGCAAUCUAUUAACGAUGUAAGUGGCAGUGAGUAGGGCUUGAGACCAAAAAUUCUUAAGAACAUUCAUUUGGAUCAUAAGUGAUCAAAUUUUCUCCAAUAAGUCUCGAUUCUUUCUCUCUGCCACACCAUUUUGUUGUGGUGUACCAGCAUAGCUAGUUUGAUGUAAAAUACCAUGAUUGCUCAAGUAAUUACUCAUGUUAUUGGAAGUUUACUCUGUGCCAUUAUCUGAUCUUAACAUAUAUAACUUAGAUGAAAAUUGAUUGGUGAUUAGGUUGUGAAAGUCCUUAAAAGAAUCAAACAAAUCACUUUUAAGUUUUAAAAGAUACAACCAGGUCACUUUUGAAUAGUCAUCAACAAACGUAAAAUAAUAUCUACACCCAUCAAAGGAUUCUACAUGAGAAGGACCCCAUAUAUCUAAGUGAACAAGCUCAAAAAGUUUACUAGUUCUAGAAUUAGAGGAAACAAAAGGAACUCUAGUGGCUUUUGACAUUUGACAAGUUUCACACUCAAGUGUGUUUCUACAAAAAAGGGGAAACAACUUGGUCGUCACAGGUUAUGAGGGAUGGGCAAGGCGUUGAUGCCAGAGUUGGUGUUCCUAAACUUGACUUAAGUUGACACGGAGCUUCUUGACAAAAUUGGACUCCUUUAAGAGAUAGUAGAGUCCGUUCAAGAAGAACCCUUCACCAAUCUUCUUCUGAGUAACUCGGUCCUAAAACACAACAUUGUGAAGGGAAAAUAUGGCAAGACAAUCUAAGGUUUUUGUGGUUUUUCCUAUUAACAAAAGCUGAAAAGGAAAAGAAGGUACAUAAAGAGGAGUGGAAUCAGUAUGCUCACUUACCAAUCUAACCUUUCCUUUCCCUAGAAUAGGUUCCCUUUUCCCAUUUGCAAUAGAUACAUGAAUUGGAUCAAUAGUUGUUUGAAAUUUGUGGAGACUAAAGGGUUUAUUAUUUAUAUGAUCAGUGGCACCAUAGUCAAUAAUACAAAAGUCAUGUGUAACAUUUGCAUUAAGAGUAGUGGAAAUGGCACUGAUAAUACUUGGAAUAUUGCCGUUCGAUAUGUUCUCUAAGUCAACCAAGAAUCCAGCAAAUUUCCCUAACAUUGUAGUAGGCAUUUUAGGCAUCAUUUCAUCAGGCUCAGUGCUUCCUUGCUUCUUUUGAAGAAAAGCAGUAAACUCGUCGAUCAAGGACACAGAUUUAUUGAGGAAUUGGCCAUCCCAUCAGUUGAGGAACAAGCUGAGUGAAAUACUUUUGGAGUGACUCCUCCCUUCUUAUCUUUGAUCAUCAUGCCUUCCCUAUCAAACUUAGGCUUGAACUCCAGAUGAAGAAUCCAACAUAUUUCUUUUAGAUGUCCCUUCAUGUUGCAAUAAGAACAUUUCAAGUCUACUUUCUUCCCAAGCAUUCUAUCACCAGUUGUUUUGUGAUCUGUCGUGAAAACCCUAGCCUCAGAGUUGGAUUUGGCCUCAACGUUCAUCAUUCUUCGUUGAGUUUCCUCUCUCUGGACUGCAUGACACACACUGGUAAAGAAGGGCAGGUCUUGAGUCAUUAACAAAUGACUACGCAGGUCUUCAUACUCAUCUCCAAAGCUUCCUAAGAGUUGAAACACCUUGUCUUCAUCAACUCUCUUCAGUAACACGAUGGAAUUAGUCGUGUGUGGACAAUACAUAUCGAGUUCAUUCCACAUAGAUUUCAUACUUCUAAGGUAUUAAACAAAGAAGUGAUCACCUUGCUUUAAACUAGCCACACUCUUCUUCAGUUGAAAGAUGUUAACUAAGUUGUUUUGGCUGCCAAACAUGUCUUUGACAGACUCCCAUAACAGAAGGAAGACUCUGAGUAGUUGAAAAGCUUAAACAAUUUUGGCUCCAUGGAGUUAAGUAUCCAAGACAUGACCAACUAAUCAGUAGCGUGCCAUGUAUCAUAGGUUGGUGAAGUGGAUUCUGGGGGCUCAGAGCUUCCAUUGAUAAACCUUAGCUUUAAUCUUCCCCCUAAAGCAAGUGGCACAACUCUUGACUAAGAAAGGUAGUUGAACUCAUUCAGUAGCACCGAGUAGAGUCGUUGAUUUGGAUUGUUCUCACCCCAUUAGGUUAAGUUUGGGGAGGAGGAUGAGGCAUUGUUGGCACUAGAUGCAUUUUCUUCUACCAUCUCCAUCAAUGAUGAGCAAAUGAAGAAGUAAAAAAAAAAAUGAAGGCAACUCUCAUAGAGAGCCAAAAAGAAAGCUACGAGAGAUUAUAGGCUAACUAGCCCAACAAUCCCUAAAAUCUGCCCUAACAAGUGGAAAAGCCAAAACCAAAUUACAAGGAAAGAAGCUUUUACAAGCAACUAAGAAAGGUUGAUAAAAGAAAGGUAAGGUGAAUGACAAGUUAUGGGAAGUCAUGAAAGUAGGGUUAAGACCAUCACUUUAACCUAUGACUUAGCUAAAGUGAGGAUGACGACCAAUACAUACAACCCAUUGAUAGGAGCAUAUUUAUGCGACUUAGUUAUUUUAGUAUUUUAAGCUAUUUUCGUGUGUUUGAAGGUCCAAAGGGUUAAUGUGGCAAAGAAGUGCAUUUUGGAGCAUUUUUGGGCAUGGAAUGGAUAGCAUAUGCUUGGAGCAAAAGGAAUGGACGAAAUUUGAAAUUUGUGCAUCAUCCUCUCCCUAUAAAUAACCAUUUUAGCACACUCAUUUCACCCAACACAUUCACCUACCACUACAUCCACUCAUUUCACCCAACACAUCCACUCAUUACAACCACCCAACACAUUCACCUACCACUACAUCCAUUCAUUUCACCCAACACAUCCAUUCACCUACCACUACAUCCACUCAUUUCACCCAACACAUCCACUCAUUACAACCACCCAACACAUUCACCUACCACUACAUCCACUAAUUUCAACCACCCAACACAUUCACCUACCACUACAUCCACUCAUUACCACCACCCACUACAUCCUCUCCCUAGGCUAUAAAUACAUCCACCCUUCACCAUAACUAGAAUUCCAAUUCCCUAGCCAUGAGCACCUUACAUUCAUUCAUAUAUUCCCACAUCCCACAAACACAUACAAAUCCAUUCCCUUGCCAUGGCACUCAUCCAACCAAAAAUCAAACACAAAUCCAUACAUUCCCUUCAACCUUGCCAUGGCAUCCAUCCAACCUAAAUACAUUCAUAACCUUUCCAUAAAUCCAUACACAUCCUUAGAUACUUGUGCUGCAACAAGGUGGUGAAAACGAAGGUCCUUGGCGUUGCAAGCUUGAAACUUUGGAGCGUUUUAGGUGUACUUCGUUCUUGCUUUCAAUAUCUACUUUGUUAUUUUCUGAUUUUGUUACAAUUAUGAGUAACUAAACCCCCCUUAGCUAGGGGGAAAUUCAAAGCCAUGAACAUACUUGCAAUAUGAAUUGAUUACCUUCAGUUGUGAUUUCAUAAGUUGUGAAUUCAAUUUGUUUAGCUACUUGAUUGUUAACUUAUUCGUGUAUGUUUAUUAAGAGUGCACACUUAGUUGCAUGCAUGAAUAUGAUGCUAGAAUAUAAGGGAGUUGAAGGAAAAAUUUUGUCCUAGCCAAUAACAAGUAAGAACAUUUGAAUACACAUGCAAACUAUUAACACAUUAAAGUAGGCAUGCAUUAAAAAACAAUUCAUAAAACCCAUGACUUUCAAAGCCUAGUAUAUGGUGAACCAAAAGACUCUUUAACAACAUUAAAGAGAAUUAAGAAUUUAGAGAUUCUUUACCGUUGAAGCUCAUCCUUGUUUACACAAGGGAUUCACCCAAGUGGAGGGCCUUCAAGUCACCUCCAUGCUCCUUGGAUCUUCCUUGUGAUUUUCCUCCUUUUAGUGCUCCUUUUCUUCUUUGAGGAUUUGAGGAUUAGUUCUCCAAAACAUCAAAAGCUUGAUGUCUCUAAGUCUCCACACCAAGGAUGAAGUGUGAAGAUGAAAAUGGAUGACUUAGAGAAGAAAAGAUUGCUAGCUGAAUCCCCUGUAAGUGGCCGGCCUCCUUAGAGAAAAUGAGAGAAAGUGUUUCACCUCAUUUCACCAAGAAAAACCCCAAUAAGAAAUAAAGCUAUAAAGUUGAUUUUAUACUUCAUUUCAAGUGAGUGGCAAACUUGUAAUUAAUCCAAAUUUGCAACCCCUCACCCUAUGGCCGGCCUUACCUUGUUAUUGGGCUAAUUUGCCCAUUUUGUUUUAGUUGUCAUACAACUUAAACAUAAUGGGCCUUGUGGACCAAAACGCUUUUGGGCCCCGAAGCCCAAAACCAACUUAAAAGCCUAAUACGAAGAUUUCGUAUAAUUAAUUAACUAAUUAAUUAAUCUUGACCAUUUUUCAAUUAAACAAUUUAAUUGCAUAUCCAUCUUAUUUAUUUCUUCACUAUCAUCCUUACUCGGUGUACGAUCCAUUAGGUUCGAUUCAGCGAGGUAGUGGGCGAUUGUUACUCUUAACGAUCGAUUGUGAAUUGAAACCACAUUUCAAUUCUCCCUUAAAAUUAGUGUUUGCUAAUCAUUAGGGCUUCCACAAACCAUGAGUGACACCUAGCAGUAUGUCAUGGUUACCCAAGCUAAGUAGAAUUGGUUGGAGAACCUAUCCAGUUACAACUACAAUGCAAUACGGUCCUUCUCUAAUACAAUACUCUUAAUCACAUUGUUUAAGUGAUAGUUUGUUUCAUGUCUACUAUCCAAUGUGAUACUUCUCUAUAUGAUUCAAUUGAACAUGAUUUGGAACAAACUUCCUAAGUCAUAUUCAUAUGCUUUGGCCAAAAACUUCCUUAGAGUAUUCUCCUUCCACCAUGGAAGGUUAAAGAUCCUUUGUUGUACAUUCAUAUGCCUACAUGACUAGAUAGCUUGAUCCCAACAAUGCCGUGGACACUCCAAUGGAAUGCCAUUUAACAUGAUCAAAGAUCAAGGACCUAACCAUUAGACAUCUAUUAUGCCUCAGGUCAAAGGACUACUUUGCAUAUUGCAACUAUCGAGUUCUUACAUGACAUGUAUGUUUGAACUCUCUUUUGAUCGGUGUUCAGUGUACUCGAUUACUCUUUCGAGCACCUAUGUGUUUGUCUUAGUGUCCAACACUAAAUGACUUGAGACUUGUCAUACUCGCGCUUGAGUCGACAUAACACAUACUAACCUUAGCGGAUUGUCAAUGCCCAAUUGGCAAUCCUAUGGCUAGGAACGUUUUAGGAAUGAACAUAAGAGAAAGGUCUCAUUAAUCUAACUUACUUAAAUCACUAAUCUCUUAGAUCAAAUACAUUCCUUGGAUUCCCUUAUUGCUUAAACACAAGAUACAAUAAAUAGUGAUUAACAAUAAGCUUUGCCCUUCAUUGAACAUAUAAAAGUUUAAUACAUUAAGUAUUCCAAAAGCUAUUACAUCAAAUGAGUGGCUUUGUGGGCAUACUUCCAACAGGAGUUUCACCUAAUAGUUACAAACUUAUAUUCACAAGUAGUGGAGGUCGCUUAUAAACGAUCGCGUUAAAUGAAUUCGUGGCAGGAGUUUCAUGCUCAUCAUAGUAACGAAUGCCUUGUCAAUACUUAUAGUUUUCAUAAUGCUUAAUGAUCUUUGAUUGUUUCUUUAUUGUGUUGUUCACGUAAAGGACUUUUGAAGAAUGCUUGAAUUGUCGUAUGUGUUUUCCCAUCCAAAUCAAUAACUUAAGGAGAACUUGAAGGUUAAUUUAAGCGAACUUAAUUAACCUGGGGUGUCGAGUUUCAUGAUUCAUCGAAAGAACAACUAAAAAUUGGUUUAUGUGCAAGUGUGUCAUGUGUGGAGAAGAACCUUCUAGCUAGCCCAUCAUCCAUAGUUUACCCAAAUUCGUCCAAAAUCUGUUUUAGCUUACAAUCUGUUUGUUUUGUUUUCAAAUUCGUCAAAAUCCAAUCCCCCUUUACUUUAAAAUGUUUUAUUAGUCAAAAUAUGUUUUGAUUUGUGUUUUUAAGUGUCUUGAGUCAAGUUAGAACCUAAUUUCGUCGAAACCCAUCCCUAGAGUUAGUUUAGAGUCUAAUUCAUUGUUUUAAGCUGUUUUGAGUCUUUAAAACUAGGUUUGAGUCUUUUUAGUUUGUAUUGCAUCUUUUGAGUCUAGUUUGGUGGUUUAAACUUAAUUCUACAUUUUUAAGUCAAUUUCAGGUGUUUUAGCAACCUCUCAUAAUCCCCGGCCUAGAACGAUCCCUACUUACAUUCUUUACUACAAUUAACAACAAAAGGGUUUAAUUUGUGUGUUAAGUUAAUUUUUGCAUCACCCAUCCCUUGAGAUCAUAUACAAACCGGUUUCAAUAACAAAGGACGCAGGUUAUGUUUGUAUUCACACGUUUCUUCUUCAUAUUCUCAUUGGUUAGAUAAUGUCCAGGCUAAUUUUCCAAACUAGAAUCUUCACUUUUGUUGGGAGGAACCUUUGCAGCCCAUAUUUUCUUCAAAAUUUCACCAAAGGUGUUAGGAGUAGGAGACGAAGAAGCCUUAUCACGAUAUGAGGCCAGCGAAUCCUAAGCCAUUGCAUUUGCACUUCUUACGGAGAAAUUUCCUUUCUUGUCAAAGUGCCAUAGGAGGCAAUCGUCCGGCUUUAUAAGACUCAAAGGGAGUGAGAGAAUUCAAUUGGUUUCAACGUCUGAGAAGAGGAACUUCAGCAGGGAGACGUUCCAGUUUUGGGAAUCGUCGAUGAGAUCAUACACAAAAUGUGCAACAUGGUCUGGUGGUUUCAGUGAAAAAAUCCAAAAACGAGUGGGAAGAGGAAACCAUCUGUCCUCCAAGAUUUUGACCAUAUCACCACAUGGAAUCUGCCAUCUGGAACCCUAACCAAUGAUGCUCUUAGCGCUACAGAUGCUCUUCCAACCCUGUUUUUCCAAAAAGCUAAGGUUGAAGGCAUAUAAAUUUUUGAACCUAGACCUCUUUCUUCUCUAGGGAGGCAAAACAUCUCCCAAUGGAGCCAAUGAAUCUUCAUAGAGUUUGAAGCCCCACUCUACCAGAAAUCAAUAAUAGAGCAGUUAAGUUCAUCACAAAAAUACUUCGGUAGGAGGAAACUAUACAUCAUGUAUAGUGGGAUUGAUUAGGCAACAACUUUGACAAGGAGUUCAUGCCUCACGACACAGAGUAAUUUGCCCUUCCAAUAAAAAAGUGGGGGCAGGCCAUCCAGACUAGGACCUUUGUUAAGGUGCAUCUGGAAAAAUUCCAUCCUUGAAAACCACAUCACUCCACCAAUUCCCAGAAAACGAGGAUCGAUCUUAUUGGCCUUAAACCCUUACCGUUUUUUAGCAAUGGAAGAUUUCAUUGAAAUCGCUCCCGCAGACCCAAGGCAAAGAUGAUUCCGUAGCCAGGCGCCUUAGGAGAUCCCCAAUCUCAAAUCUUCUACUCAAUGUGCUGGAAUGGGUGAGAUAAAAUCCAUAGAAGGACAUUCGCUUUCCAAAAAGGUAAAUUUUCCUUACUAUCCUCUAGAGUCUACUCCAAACACAUGAUCAAAACCCAAUUGUAACAUAAUAUACCUUUGGUUCCACACAUUGCUUUUCAUUUCAGAGAGAAAAACAAUGUGGGGAUCAUUUUGCUAGAUUAAAUCUCGCAUCGUCUGAACUAUCUGAAGAUUCCCAAGCCCCAGGUAGUUCCAAAAGAUGGUAUACAUGGCUGAUGGCAAGCUGAGAAACUUCAAUCGCCACUGAUGGUAGUUGAUUAGUUGAUUUCCUCAUUCCAGAUAAUUAUUUCUUUGUUUCUUCAAGUUCUUUGGAUGGACCCACCACCACGUUGCUAAGUUUAAAGGAGUUAAUCGUCGAAGGUUUCACUGUUGCCACUUUCCAGUCUUAGCCACCCAGGUUCUUUUGAGGACGUCCUCUAGAAGCUCUCUUUUAGGCAUAGUGUAAGGGUUUUAGUUGUCCUCAAAUAAAAGAGAUUCUCGCACAUUUUUUAGCUUUUACCAAAUCAUGGGCCUUUUUUUCCUUUUUUUUCUAGGAGGGGUCCAAAGAGGUUACCAUUCAGAGGGAAAGCCGAUGAUCCUCAAGCUUGGUGAUCUGCGCACCACUAGUGUUGGAUGGGCUAGCACAAUUAAAGCCAAGUUCUGGCCCAAAGUUUGAGGAAAGUUGAUAAGGCCCAUGGUGUUAGAGAAGGGCCAAGGAGUGACUUUUCUAGGAUCAUAACAAACUUUAUCCAAAUUCAAAUCAUUGACAACCAAAGUCAAUGAGCCAUUAGUGUAGAAGGUCCUGAACUUAUCAAAGUGCAACAUAUGUCCAUGAUCCUUUACGGAAGGUUGUCUUUUGACGCUAUUAGUCAGUGCAGUACUAGGUAUCACGCACGAUGAGCCAGGGCCAAUGUUCGUAAGGUUUUUCCCAGUCCCAUCACCAUCGUUAGUGCUCAGACUGCUCAGAGAUGGACAGUUGUCGCACACAGAUCUCCAUAUAGCCUCUUCCAUAACCUUUUGCAUCAUCACUAAUUGUGCCUAAAACUACCUUGUCGGUGAUUCCCUUGACUCGUCAGCAAUACCAUAGAAGCCCCCCUUGUUAUCCCAUUUUCAAUGCCAGUGCAAUUAGUUAGUGUCAGGUAAGGCUUUUGGGUAGGAGUGUGGUGAAACUUACAUAGUUCGUGGAUCCUCCCCAUACUUAUUUUCUCUAGUCACAGAGAACUUGGUUUCCCAUAUGCAACCCCUUGAAUGACCCAGUCUUCAACAUCUAUAGCAAAAGUCCCUCGGACCCUCAUAGCGGAGGCAAACAGUUAAUAUGCUAUUCUUUAGUGACGGUAUCGUGAAGUGAGUCAGUAGUAGUCAAAGGACAUAAACAUCAACCCUUAUUCUUAGAAACCCACGGCCUCAGCUGGGUCCUCCACCUCAAGAACAACACCAAUUUUUCCACCUAGCCACAACGUGUUUUUCACUAUGCAUAGAUAGUGAGGGAUACCAUGAGUUUAAACCCAAAAAACAGCUAUGUUAGCCUUAAUGUUGUCCAGGGAGUGGAAUUUGGGCCAUAACUUAUUUGAGAAGGUGUAGCCUGAAGGAAAUUUUGUGAAAACAUGUUCAUUUGAGCAACAUCUAUGGCAUGCAAUUAACAAUUAAAGGCGGAAUCAUGCUUGUAUGCACUCAAAAUAAAACAUUACCCAUGAAGUUCAAAGCCUAGUAGUUAUGUGAACCAAGACUCAACUCAAGAACAAAGUGAGUUGAGAAAUUUUAUACCUUUGUUGAUUCCUUUUUGCAUAAGCAAAGGCUAAUCACCCAAGGAGAGGGCCUUCAUUCCUUGCUUCUUAGCUCCAUGGAUUUCUUGGAUGAGGAUGGUUGAAAGGAUUCUCCAAGUUCCCAAAGUUGAGAACCUCUAAGUCUCCACACCAAGGUAGGACUUGAAGAAGAGAUGAGUGACCUAGAGGAAGUAGCUAAAAUCCUCUAGGGUGGCCGGCCUCUUAAAGAGAAAAGGGAUCUUGUGUUCUCAUCUUUUCUCCAAAAGAAACCUUAAGGAUGAAAUGGCCAUAAAGUUGCCUUUAUACCACCUCACAAUGGAGUGGCAAACUUGCAAUUAAGCCAAGUACACUACCUGUCUCUAUAUGGCCAGCCAUUAAGGGUUCAUUGGGCUUUCAAGCCCUUUGUGGUUUCAAGUUGUCAUACAACGUGAGUUAAUGGGCUUGACAUUCAAAUCCCAUUGGGCAUUGCGGCCCAAAACUAACCUGGGGUCUAUAACGAACUUAUUCGUUUGAUUAAUUAACAUUUUAAUUAAUCCUAGCCAUAAAUAAUUAAACCAUUUAAUUAUCCUUACUCAUCUCUGUUGUUUCUUCAAUCUCUACCUUACACGGUGUACAAUCCAUUAGGUUCCUUUUAGCGAGGCAGUGGGCGAUUAAAACUCUUUCAAAUUGAUUGUGAAUUAAAACUUACUUUCAAUUCUCCCUUUAGUGAUUAUACACGUUUAGGGCUUCCACAAACCAUGAGUGACACCUAGCAGUAUGUCAUGGUUACCCAAGCUAAUCAGAAAAGGUGAAGAACCUAUUCAGUUUAGGAUUACAAUGCAAUACGAUCUUUCUUUAAUACAAUACUCUUGGCCACUUUGUUUGGUUUGAUAGUUUAUUCAUUUCUACUAUCCAAUGUGAUUCAUUUACUUAUAUGAUUACCUUGAAUGUAAUUUGGAACGACUUCCUAAAUCUCAUUCAUACUCUGGCCAGAGAUUCUUAAUCAUAUCAUAGAGUAUUCUCCCUCAAACAGUUAGAAGGUUAGAGAUCCCUUGUUGUGCAUUCACUUGCCUCUAUGGCUAAGUGGCUUAACCCCAACUAUGUGGUUACCCUCGGAUGGAGUGACUUUGACAUAGUUAAAGAUAAAAGACCUAACCACAAGACAACUAUGAUGCCUCAGGUCAAAAGACUACUUUGCAUUAUCCCAACCAUGAGUUCUCAUGUGACAUGAGUAUGAGAACUCCUUGUUGAUCGCGUUCAGUGAACUCAUUCUCUAUUGAGCACCUACGUACUUGUCUUGGUGUCAGUUGUUGGAAAGGUGCCCUAAAACCAAUCAUAUGAUGAUACUUUACGGACAUUUCACAUGUUAAACUAAUCUAGUUUAAUAUCAAGGGCAAAUAUUAUUGUUUUAAGCCGUCUCAUAUAAAUGUUAUAUGCUUAAACGAUAAGUCCAAGGAAUAUGUAAUUAGAAGAAUAUAAUUUAAAAAAGUUAGUUUCAUGGAUUCAUGAGACCAUUCUCUUUCGUAUACAUAUCCUAAACGUUCCUGAUCAUAGGAUUGCCAAUUGGGCAUUGACAGUCCAUGAAGAUUAGUACGUGCUGUGUCUUCUCUCAGGGAGAGUGACUAGUCUCGAGUCAUUAGUGUGAUUGACACCAAGACAAGCAUGUAGGUGCUCAAUAGCGAAUGAGUCCACUGAACAUGAUCAACGAGGAGUUCUCAUACUUAUGUCACAUGAGAACUCAUGGUUGGGAUAAUGAGAAGUAGUCCUUUGACCUGAGGCAUCAUAAUUGUCUUAUGGUUAGGUCCUUGAUCUUUGACUAUGUCAAAGUCACUCCGUCAGAGGGUGUCCACGACAUAGUUAGGGUUAAGCCGCUUAGCCAUGGAGGCAAGUGAAUGCGCAACAGGGGAUCUUUAACCUUCAAACUGUUUGAGAGAGAAUACUCUAUGAUAUGAUUAAGAAUCUCUGGCCAAAGUAUGAAUAAGAUUUAGGAAGUCAUUCCAAAUCACAUUCAAGGUAAUCAUAUAAGUAAGAGAAUCACAUUGGAUAGUAGACAUGAAUAAACUAUUAAACCAAACAAUGUGGUCAAGAGUAUUGUAUUAGAGAAAGACCGUAUUGCAUUGUAAUCCUAAAUUGAAUGAAGGCCCUCUCCUUGGGUGAUUAGCCUUUGCUUAUACAAAGAGGAAUCAACAAAGGUAUAAGAUUUCUCAACUCACUUUGUUAUUGAGUUGAGUCUUGGUUCACAUAACUACUAGGCUUUGAAUUUCAUGGGUAAUGUUUUGUUUUAAGUGCAUACAAGCAUGAUUCCGCCUUUAAUUGUUAAUUGCAUGCCAUAGAUGUUGCUCAAAUGAACAUGUUUUUCACAAAAUUUCCUUCAUCAGUCACACCAAUGACUCGAGACCAGUCAUUCUCCCUAAGAGAAGACAUAGCAAUUACUGAUCUUAACGGACUGUCAAUGCCCAAUUGGCAAUCCUAUGAUCAUGAAUGUUUAGGAUAUGUAUAUGAAAGAGAAUGGUCUCAUGAAUCUAACUUCUUUAGAUCGCAUUCUCCGAAUUACAUAUUCCUUGGACUUAUCGUUUAAGCGUGUCACAUUUAUAUGAGACGGCUUCAAACAAUAAUCUUUGCCCUUUAAAUUAAACUAUAUUAGUUUAACAUGUGAAAUGUCCAUAAAGUAUCAUCAUAUGAUUGGUUUUAGGGCACAUUUCCAACAAUCUCCCACUUCCACUAGAGCCAAUCAGCUUGGUCAUCAAUGAUGAUACCUCUUCUGUAGUCAUUUCAAAAAUGGCUGAGUAGUAGGCCUAGAUAAUGGAUAUCUAUAUGUUAUCCAUAGAAGCAACCUUGAGAAUAACGACAUCACCAUUAUACAUGAUUCUCAAUCAUGUGGUUUAGUCUCUCAUUUGAGUUCAGAUCACGAUGAGACCUUGAUUCCCUAGCUUGAGCUAUCACCCCAUUAGUGUCGUAGUGUCGGUACACUAGAGACACUUUCUGGUUGGAACCGAAUAGAGAGUUCAUGAAUGAACUUUCUCAUCCAAACAACAUUGUUGUAAGCUUCUAUAUGGCAAUAUAUUUUGCAUUCAUAAUGGAACACACUAAAGUCAUUACUUUUAAUGUUUCCAUCCAAAUAUCUCUUUAGUUAUAAUAAAGAGACAUCUGAUUAUUUCUUCAUUCAUAAUGAAGAAACAUCCAAUGAUGGAUUAGAUUCAUAAUCUAAUACAUUUGCGCUUCCAUUACGUUACUCUAAUUCUUCCUCACUCUUUGAGGAAUCUAUCCUUUAGUAUUUCUUAAAUACUUAAGGACUUACUUGACAGUUGCCAUGGUUCUGAUCAUGGGCUUACACUGAUACCGUUUUGUACCGAUCUUGGUACAACUCAUAUCAACGUUUUUCAUACAAUAUGAAAUACAUAAUUCACCUUUCUGCGUAUACAUAAAGGAUUAUAUUUACGCAUUAUUUCUUUGGGAGUCAAACGGUACGUUCCCUUUGAGAAGAGCUACCUCAUAGCCUCACUAGAGUUGUUCUUCUGAUUGAAGUUUAUCAUCAUAUGAGAAACUUCCUAGCAUCUUUUGUCUAUCAUUAGGGCUUGAUAGAGUCCAAUUAUAUCCUAAAAUCGAUCAUUAUAGAUUUCCAUCCCAUGUUUAUAGAAUAUGUCUCCCAUAUACAUUCUAUUGUUAUAGAAUGUUUAAAGUCAUAACUUUAACGAAGAAGUAUUCUUUUCAUUUCCAAAGUUAAUAUAUCCUAUAAGUGUGUGUGUGUAUAUAUAUAUAUAUAUAUAUUCAAAUUUAGGAACAUGAUUAACUCCCACUAAUCUUUUGUAAACCUAGUAAACAAAAGAUUCAUUUACAUCUUUAUGAGAAAUCAAACGAUUUGAUCUUUCUUUCAUCAGACGCUUAUAGCUCCCACUAGCUUGCUAAGAUUCAUGAUGGAUGGAUCUCUACAACUUACAUGUCUUGUGAUUCAUAGUUUUAGACAUAUAUGUUGGAAAUAUGCCCUGAAAGUCAAUCUUUGGAAGAAACCUUUCAGGACAAAUGAAUCGAUGUAUGGAUGACUCUUAUACAUCAAAUGGCAAAGACACGAAUUAGGACUAUCUCAAUAAACGAUAUAUGUCCUAAAUAGUGUAUCCAUGGACAAUGGAUUGAUUGAAGAAGUAAUCUACUGAUGUUAGACUACAUAGACCUUCUUCACAUAACCAUUAUGUCCAAAAGGUUCCUAGUCAUUGGAUUGUCGGAGGGAAACUGACAAUGCUUAGACCGGUACAUACUGUGUCCGCUUCAAAUGGAAGGAUGGAAAGUCUCAUCCCAUUCGUGUUGUGACACUAAGACAAGUAUGUAGGUGCUCAUUAAGGGAAUGAGUUCACUGAACACAAUCGAACGAGAGUACUUGCAUGGAGGUCUACUCACAUGUCAAGCAAGUAACUCUAAUGGUUGGAAUAAUGUAAGUAGUCCUUUGACUUGAGGCAUCGUCGUUGUCUUGUGGCUAAGUACUUAAUCUUUGAUUAUGUCAAAGUCACCCCAUUCGCGGAUGUCCACGGCAUAAUUGGGGUUAAGCCACUUAGUCAUGAAGGCAAGUGAAUGCGCAACAAGGAAUCUCUAAUCCUCGAUUAGAGAGGAAGAAUACUCUAAGAUAUGAUUCGAGAAUCUUCGGCCGAAGUAUCGAGCGUAAUAAAGGAAAGCGUUCCUAUACGACUCAAAUGAAUCAUAUAAGAAGGAAUAAUCACAUUAGGGGUUUGACAUAAUAUAUCCAUACCCUAGUAAUGUGAUUGAGAGUAUUGUUUUAGAGAAGGAUCGAAUUACAUUGUAAUUCCAACUGAAUAGGUUCUCUGAACAACUUCUACAUUAGCUUGGGUAGCUAUGACAUAUGGUUAGAUGUCACUCAUAGCUUGUGAGUUCUUCUAGAUGAUUAAAUGUAGUCAUCAAAGAAGAAAGGUGAAUUAAAAUGAAGUUUUAAUUCACUAAGUGAUUGGAUUAAAUAUAAUCAAUUGGAUUGAUGUCAAUCACCUCACUGCCUUGCUAAUUAGAACCUAAAAUGAUUGUACACCGAUACACUCUUGUAGUGAGUAAUUAAUGGAUGAUGGAAAUAAUUAAUUGGAUUAAUUAAGUGUUGUGAUUAAUUUAGAAAGUCUAAAGAAAUCAUAAAAAGCGAUAAAAGAUCGUUUUGGGCUUAAAGAAACGUUCGGGUUUAAUUGGGCCCAUUGGGCCUAAACCCAUUGGGCUUUUAUUCAAGCAUUGGAUGACUAGAAAUAUAUAAAAGCCCAAAGCCCAAACCAACACAAAGGGGCCGGCCCUUGCAAGUGGAGAGGGAGAGAUAUUUAGUCAAGUUGUUGACUAGGUUUCUUUUUGUCUAUAUAAGGAACUUUAUAGAGUUUUUAAUCCUUAGGGUUUUUGUGUGUUUUUUAAACAACAAAAAGAGGCAAAAGAAAAUAACUCUCUAAAAAACCACAAAGGCCGGCCACCUAGAGGGUGAAUUUAGCUAACAAUCUUUCACUCCUUUUGGUUAUUCCUCCAUCCAUCUCACUACACUAGUGGGUGUGGAUCUUUAGAGGUCUUCUCCUUUGGAGACUAAAGGAGAACCUUGGAGCACUCUUACUAACAAAGUGGAGGAGGCAAGGAGGGAGGCUAGGCUCAAGGACUUCAAGGAACAAAGGGCUUGGAGGUGGUCCAUCCUUGGUCUCAAGUCUAGAUCGAGAGGUAUAAGACUAAACCUACACCUUGUUCUUUACUAAAAUGUUUUGAUGCAUUAUAUAUAAACCUAUGAACCUUGAAGGGGAUUUGCAUGACUAUAGCUUUGAUAUUAUUUGAUAAAUUGCUUCCGUUGCUCAUGUAUAUAAAUUUUGAAUUGUAUAUGCAUGCUAGUCAUUUAGAAAUCCCAUGUGCUAAACUCAUAAUUUUCCCUUCAAGUGGUAUCAAAGCCAAAGGUUUAUGUAUAAUGUGUCCUUUUGGAUUUUAUGCAUAUGGGUAUUAAUAAUAUGUAUGACAUAAUUAUUGCUUCAUUCAAAAUAUGUUUAUCUUUUGUUUUUCAAUAGUUGAAAAAUGUUAGUCAAUAGUUGAGAAAGAUAUGUAUGCAAAAAAAAAAAUGUUUUGUAUGCAUGAAUGAAAAUUGAGUUUUGAACUAAUUUGACAUAUUAUUUCUUCAUUUAAAGUAUGUUUAUCUUUUGUUUUUCAAUGGUUGAAAAAUAUAAAUCAAGAGUUGAAAAAAGAUAUGCAUGUAAAAGUUGUUUUGUAUGCAUGAAUGAAGAAUAAGUCAUGAACAAAAUUUUGGGGUUUUGUUCUUUGUGGUUGGCACGGUUUUGGGGAUUUUUGGGCAUGUGUUUGUGUUUUAUUGUAAGACACUCACACAUCAUUUUAAAGCUAGAAAGUAGAAACCUUGUCACUUUAGUUUUUGGGUUUGAAAAAUCACCAAGAAUACACAAA
rnacentral:lncRNA from 1 species